GACGAACGCUGGCGGCGUGCUUAACACAUGCAAGUCGAACGGAAAGGCCCUGCUUUUGUGGGGUGCUCGAGUGGCGAACGGGAGAGUAACACGUGAGUAGCCUGCCCUUGACUUUGGGAUAACUUCAGGAAACUGGGGCUAAUACCGGAUAGGAGCUCCUGCUGCAUGGUGGGGGUUGGAAAGUUUCGGCGGUUGGGUAUGGACUUGCGGGUUAUCUGCUUUUUGGUGGGGUAGUGGCGUAGCCAGGCUUUGACGGGGAGCCGGCCUGAGAGGGUGGAGGGACACAUUGGACUUGAGUGACGGCCCGGACUCCUGCGGGAUGCACAAGGGGGGAAUGUCGCACACGGGGCGGACGCGUGAUGGAUGAACGCCGCGUGGGGGAUAACGGCUUUCGGGUUGUAACCCGCUUUCGCCUGUUACUAAGCGUGUUUGCGGUUACUGGGUAAGGAAGCACCGCUAACCUCCGU
rnacentral:rRNA from 1 species